ensembl:lncRNA
GGGACACUUUAUGGUGUCGCACCGCUGAUUCCGUCAGCACCUGAUAAUUCAACGUGAACGCGACGUGUUCUGGACGUUUAGUUCAACAAGCGUCUUCAACAGGACGUAGAAACAUGGAGACUCACGCGGAGGUCGCUCCACCUCAUGUUGCAGGUGAUUAUACAAUAUAUUCAAUUUCUAUGAAUAAGUUCUUCUAAAUAUUACACAUUGUCGUUUUAACUUUCGUUCUUUUUAUUUAGGUAAGAUUUGUACUUAUUUUAUUGAGGUAAAGGAUCCGACCGCUCCUCUACAACUGGUUUCCUUCGGCAGGCGCAAAGUGCGAAUGUUCCCACUUCAACUAUCAUGCAGGUGUUUUGCAGUAACUGAUCUGUUGUGCAGUUCGAACACAACAAGGUCCUGCCCUGCUGCUCUCACGCCUCCACUUCCUGCUCCUCCUCCCAACGACUGUUCAUAUGUUACUGUACCUUCGUCUUUGCGAAAGCAAUAUUCCGAGACAAUUCCGACGACGGCCUCGCCAGUUUCAUCGUGGGCCAGGCGACAGAUUGCAGAAAAAUAAGAAGCUUCACCUCGAACAUUCACAAGUAUUCGACUUCCCCUCAGUUUCCGGUGGAUUGUUGAGACGGAAAAGCUCAGACAUGGGAAGUAUAAUUUCGUCGGAAGGAGACGAUGGGGACUUGACUUCCGCCGAGCUGAAGGACGAACUCGUCCCCAGUCUGACGUCUUUCGCGGAGCUCUACGAUCGACGCACAGAUCGUCUUCAGGCGGCGUCAGCGAGCUUCGCGCAGGCGGCUGCUCGAGUGCGUGAAGAACAAAAGGACGAGUCCGUCACUAAGACAAUUCGUGGGAUGAUCGGCGGAGCUUUUGGCGCAUUGUCUGGGGGCGUUGCAGGCGGGGUUUUUGGGGCAUUAGGGGCAGUUUCCGCAGGAACUUUGAGCAUUCUUUGUGAAGAAAUCAGCGCAGUCGGCGCCACUGCCGGGUUGGCUGGGAGUUUAAUUGGCGGUGUAGGUGGGGGAGCGUUUUCCGGCUGCAUUGGCGGCGCCGUCAGUGCCGCCAACGCAGAGGCAACAAGUUCAUUUCCCGGUGUUGUUAGCGAUGCAGUGUGGUUCAGCCUUGGCUUGGCAACUGGCGGUGCAAUGGGUCGUGUGUUCGGAGGCAGCGUGGGCGCGGCAGGCGGCGCGGCUGGUGGCGCAUUUGGUGCGUGGAAUGGUGCGAGAUUUGCAGUUUAUGUGGUUGGAAGUCUUUCAACCCAGUGUUUGAACGAAGAGAAAAAGACAAAGGAAGCGUCCAUGGUACAACAAACUGGACACGACCUCAGUGAAACCAUCAAACCACUGGUGGUGGAGCUGAACACGAUCAAGACCAUCACUCGGAAGAUAACCUCCAGCGCUGACGUGAGACGGACCGCAGGACAAACUGCAAAGACUCUGGCUGCCGUGACCGCGAUGGAGAAAACUGUCAGCGACUGUCAGACGGCCACAGAUUUAACUCGGUUCGUGUCCAGUGUUGACAAAGCUGCGAGACAAAGCCGACGAACCUGUGAGGAACUGAAAAAGAUGAGAACGGAAGCUGAAAAACUCCUGGGUUCACUGAGGACACACUGA